rnacentral:misc_RNA from 1 species
GAAAUGCGAUACUUGGUGUGAAUUGCAGAAUCCCGUGAACCAUCGAGUUUUUGAACGCAAGUUGCGCCCGAAGCCAUUAGGCCGAGGGCACGCCUGCCUGGGCGUCACGCGCUCCGUCGCCCCGCAACCCCGAACCCCGAAACGGGCCAGGGUGCUUGUGGUGCGGAGAUUGGUCUCCCGUGUGCCUUGCUCGCGGCUGGCCUAAAAUUGAGUCCCGGGCGCUCUGUUCUGCGGCCGACGGUGGUUGAGAAGCCCUCGAAAAUGUGCUGCUGCAGUGCUGCCUGAUGCGGACCCUGUGACCCUUGCGCGACCUCUCCCCUUGGGGUGAGGGAGCUCCAUCUGAGACCCCAGGUCAGGCGGGGCUACCCGCUGAAUUUAA